rnacentral:lncRNA from 1 species
AGCGUAUUAUAAGAUGAUUAAAUAUGCACAGUACAAGUAUGUUAUGGAAGGCUGUGUUAACUGAUAUAUUGGGACCACAAUAGUAUGUGUAAGUGAGAUUUGGAAAAUUUGAUAUGCUAGCAAGGACAAAGAAGUGUUGAAUUUGCAAGUUUGUGCACAUAAUUCUGAGAAUCCAGGCAGCUAUUUCUCCUUUUGAAUUGUUCCCUUGGCUAGGGGAUAAGGGUGAGACACAACACACAUUUGAAUGUGUCACUGUGUAAGUUACCACUGCAAUAUUUUCUGUAUGUUGAAAAACUGGUACUUAUAUGUACUAAUAUUAUCUACCAUGAAAAAACAAUUAAAAAUUUAAAAUAUUAUGUAAAUUAAAUAAAGUUCAAAUACCAGUAGCCAGAAAAAAUAUAUUAUAGUCUGGGGUCAGAAUAGGAAAAACUUAUGUAAAGUAUCAAAAUUAAUUUUUAUUUCAAUUUAAAUGCACCAUCAUAUAACAUAGUUUCAUAACUGAAAUUACAUUUGUCAGAAUUUGAUAUUUUCAUUAUUAAAGAAUUGAGGGAAAACUGAUGGUUAUAAUAUUGAUAUGCAAUGUAAAUAAACUUUUUUUCAUUUUUAUAGGAA